CCUGUCACUAGAGGCAUUGCAGGUGUGGUUGCUGUGUCACAUAUGCAUUGGUAGGUGGCAGACAGGAGAGAGCCCAUGUCUACACUCCGUGUUCUGACCUGUGGACAUCUAAAUGGUAAGUAGCCUAACAUU